GGAAUCUUCCACAAUGGGCGCAAGCCUGAUGGAGCAACACCGCGUGAGUGAAGAAGGGUUUCGGCUCGUAAAGCUCUGUUGUUAGAGAAGAACGUGUGUGAGAGUGGAAAGUUCACACAGUGACGGUAACUUACCAGAAAGGGACGGCUAACUACGUGCCAG
rnacentral:rRNA from 1 species